rnacentral:lncRNA from 1 species
UGGAGAUGGGAACAGCUACCAAGAGGAACGAGGGCAAGAGCUUCCUUGCAGGGCAGGAAAACCUCUAAGAACCCAUGAAGUACAAGGCAGCUGGGCAGCUCCACACCUUGGCCCAAAGCAUCACAAUCAGACUACCUGGACCAAUCCAGCACUCUGACCUCAGACAGCACCUUGCAGUGGGAACACUGGAAGGCGAGAGUGGAAAAUGGAGAACAGUCAGGGGCUUCAAGAGUUCUCAGCAUGCCUCAGAAAAGAAAGCAGAAAUCACAAUGUUACCUGACCACUGAACCACAAGACAGACUGCAGUCUCCUACUGAGCUCUGGCCCUGAGCUAAUCAGGAUAACCCCCUCAACGCCUGGGGAAAAGAACAUUUCAUUAUUGUUCUUCAUAUUCAAAGACUAGCUUUAGAGGAAGUGGUCAUUAGGCAGGUGCAGGGCGUGACUGAAAAGACUCACUGGGACUCAGUCCUUCCCAUGCUGUGCACAUGGAUACUGUCGUUUCCUCCAGGGGCAGCUGCAUCUGUUGUUCUCAGGCAGUGACACUGGCUCCCUAACACCUGUCUUCCUGAGCCCUUGAGCAAACAGACCCACCCUGUUUUCUGUUGUUGAAGAGCACAUACCAUAGGGUGGCUCAAAGAAGUGGCCUCUGCUCAGCCCCACUCUCUUGGCCCAUUUGCCAUGUUUCUGCGGGGUUGUUUGCAUUAUCCUGCCUGUCCAGGUCCCACUUGCUCAAGGUUAGCCCCUGAUCCAGUUUUAGCCCUGUUCUCCCACUAUCCCAUUGCUUCUGAUUCUGCAGCUCCUCCUCUACCAUCCCAGUCCAUUAUCUGCUCUGAGACCAGAGAAACCUAUGUAUUUCAUCAGAUCAUGACACUAGUUUGAACAAGUAUAUAGCUCCCCACUGCUCUGGGGAUGAACCCAGACUCUGCCAGCUAAGAGGCACUGUGCCAGGAGCCACCUGGGCUGCAUAUUCCAGGGCUAGGGGCUCUGCAUCAUCCUCAAUUCCAGAUUCUCACAGAAGAUGCUGCCUUUGCCUGGAACAAUGUCCCCCUUUCCCCUGGUCUCCUACUCUAAGCAGCUUCUACUUAUCCUUUGGUUGAGACACCCCUUCCAAUACGGACUCCUUUCUGAGCCUCUUCUUUAGGAAAAUACAUUUGGACAGCAACUCUAUUGUUCAUAUUCACACUCAUUGUUUAGCCUGCCACUUGUCUGAACCUCCCAUUAAGUAGGAAUUCUAUGAAGAUAAUGAUCCAGUCUCUCUAGUUCACAGUUAAGUCAGCUAUACCUAGUGCCAUGCCUAUCAUAUAACAGGCACUUGUUAAAUAGCCCAUUGAAUGAAUGUCCAUCUUUCUUCACUGAGUAAAGUUUACUAGAAUAAAAUUAUAUGAGCA